CGUACACACACAACAAAAUUAAAUGAAUCGAUGCAAAUAAUAAAAAUACAUGCACACACAGGGAGGAGAAAAAAAUUCUGUGCUUUAGGUGCGAGUGUAAGGUCAGGUGGUGUAAUGCCUACUGGUCACAGCAAAUAAGAGGGAAUAAUGGUGCUGUGCUUGAACUGAAUUGCAUUCAGUAUAAACUUUUUUCUUUUUUUUCUUCUUCUCAUCAGUCCUAAUUUGGACUAUACAUGACACAAAAAUACACACGCACAAAAAGUCAAGUGUUCUUGAGCUAUUUAAAGAGGGUCUGGCAUCUCCUGAGACCUCUAAUAUACGAGGAGCUCCCCCUGCGCCACCUGUCGGGAGAUGAUCUGCACUCGGAGAGGAAAACGGCUAAACCUUUUGAAUCUGAUUAUUCACACACACACACAUGCACACACGCACUCACACACACACUAUCACAGCUGGAUCAGAGACCAGAAGCUGUCUUUAGCAGAAUGCAAAAAUGAAACUUUACCUGGCUAACUGAAAUAUUCUCAGGUGAAGAGGAUUUAGGCCAUUAGUUAAAAUAAUAUUAUUAAUAAUAAUAAUAUUUUUAUAUAUAUAUAUAAAAGAAGGUGACCAAACUUUUGCACAUAUGUUUGAAUUAUUUAGCAUUUACAAAUAAAUAGCAACUUUGUAUUUGCGACUAAAUCGUAACUAUGCAUUGCAAGUGAAAGACACUUUUCCAUACAUCUACGAUAAAAUGAAUGUUUUAAGCACACUACAUGAUGUCUAAACAGCUCCAGCCUGACGUACCUCUAGACCAGAGAACACCGUGCAGUGUCAUGGUCCUGAUCAAUUCAUAUGUACUAUCGCUCUUCACGGAGUGUUAAGAGGACAAGAGAGAUAUUAUAAUAUGCAUUCCACAUUAUCUGUGAGACACAUACCAAGCAUGGUACCAUUUUUGUAGCACUUGUUGAUCAUGAUUAACGCUAUUAGGAUGAAAGGAGAGAUUACAUAAGGCAAUCAGUAGACAAUCAUUGCAUUGUGAUGCAUAAAGAUUGACUUGUUUGUCAAAAGAAUUGAAAAAAGGAUUACUCUCAUAGCCUGUUUCCCCCAAAAGGGAUCCAUUGUUUCAUUAUUAGAUCAGAUUUUAUAACUUAAAAUAAUAAUAAUAAUAAUUUUUUUUUUAGUGUUGAUGAUUGGGCUAUACGAUUUUUAAUUGUGCAAACCAUUACCUUUAAACUUGAUCUGUGAAUAGUGUAUUAAUGUGCAUGAAUAUUUGAUCAGCCAUUCGGUUUACUCUGCAGCUAAAGUGGCUCUCCGGAAACUGUGCAAACGCAUUCUUUCUGUCUGUGAAAAGGGAUCCUAUUAUUAUUAUUAUUAUUAUUAUUAUUAGUUUUUAAAUGAUGUGCAUGUCUUAAACUUGGCAGAUCUUUAAACUAACCACUUCUUCAUAACUGACCAAAAAAUACACAAAGUGCCACUAAGCCCACAGUAUUUCCAGUAGGCUUCGCCAGGUUUGUGCGAAGGACCUGAUUGUGUACGUGUGGUGCAAACUGUGCUGCUGAGAAUACAAGUCUUCUCCGUUCAUUAUCUUGGAUUACUUUGAUUGACAUAUAAUGCUCAAGCAGAUUUGACUGUUCCAAUCUGUCACUAAUUUCCUGGUACCAGUGCUCUUUUUUUUAAAAAUAUAUUUUAUUUUUUAAAAUAAAGAUUCUUAAAGUGUGAAUGGUUAUAGAGAAAUCUUAAUGUAAUGUAUAAUUACACUAUAUGUAGCUAGAUAUUUUUAUUGUAAAAAUGUACAAUAUAGAGAAUUAAACAUAGCUUAUAAUUGAACAUGUGACAUUUAAAGAUUAAUUACAAAGAGGCAAGCCCGGUUUCUUACCAGGACCCUUUUUCCAUGGAUGGUUUAUGUUGACUUGAUAUAUUUCACAUUCUUCUUGGGUUAUUGUAAUUUUAAAUAAGUUCCCAUGGCUUGCCAAAUGUUCAUGUUGACAUUUUUAGGGUGUGUUUGUAUGAUUUUUCGUGUUAAAUUUGAAAUAAAAACGGUUAUGGGGAAAAACC
ensembl:lncRNA